UAGCAUAAUCAUUAGUCUUUUAAUUGAAGGCUUGUAUGAAUGGUUGGACAAAAAGUAAGCUGUCUCAAUUAUAAUAAUUGAACUUAACUUUUAAGUGAAAAGGCUUAAAUAAAUUAAGGGGACGAUAAGACCCUAUAAAGCUUGACAAUAAUUUAAUUAUACUAUCAAUUGUUAGUGUAACUUGGUUUUAGUUAAAAUUUGUUGCGUUGGGGCGACGAGAAUAUAAUAGGUAACUGUUCUUAAAUAUUUAAUAACAAAUAUAAUUGAAAAUUAGUGUGAUCCUCUAUUAGCGAUUAAAAGAUUAAGUUACUUUAGGGAUAACAGCGUAAUCU
rnacentral:rRNA from 1 species